UGAACACACACAGAACUGUUAACACACACAGUUAAACAACAGUGGGUGUUUUUAUUUAAACCAUGCAAAUUGCUACGGAGCGGUUUAUCUAAAUCAGGGAAAUCCAAAUUCGCUCCUGGAGGAGCUGCAUCAUGCAGUUUAUCUCCUAAACAAGCUAACCAAAACCUUAAGGUCUGCUUGAACAUCACAGGCAGGUGCGUUUCAUUAGGGUUAGUGCUCAUUCAGGAGUAGAUCUGAAGAGUCCUAGACCUUUAAGAAUCUGUAAUUGUAAUUGACAAAACCUACACGAAGUUUGAUGGUGAGAUUAACAGUCAAGUGAUGACAAAAUUUAACUGCAUACAGAUACUUGUGGUCUGGCUGUAUGAUUUGGCUACAUUUUCAACCUCCGUCUAUUUCACUGUGAGGCAAAACAGAGCACUUGUAACUGUUGCUAUGGCAACCCCAUGACCAAAAGCCACUAGAAAUGUAUCAUGGUUAUUGGUAUGCAAAAGAGUAAAGGAAGGAAAAAACACAAUUAGCCACUGCCAUCUGUGUGUUGUUGUAACUGAUCAACAAAAAUAAACUAAGAACACUAAAGGAAUUAAAUGAAAACAGAAUGACAGGUCUACGAUUUCCUACUCUAUAUCAGUCCCCGGGCUUUCUCAAGCCAAACAUUUAUUUUGAAUUCCUUGCUUGCAACCACUUUAAUUAUUCUGGCUUAAAAAUGCACAAAAAAACUUGGUAUACAUGCACACAUUACCUUUACAGCAGUUCAUUUAAGCAUACAUCCAUGAACUCAUAAUUUAAUUAGCGAUUUUGCCUUGCAAUCAUUUUGUGGUGGAAUUAAAAUGAAAUUUGCACAUGACCUUAUAGUGCAAUUUAAUUAUGCACUAAGAGUUUCAUCCUAACUGUGCGUCUGUAAAUGAGUGUUAUCAGGUGCCCUAAUGAAAAUCAAUCUGCAAAGGGAUUGUAGCCAUCGAAGGGUUGUUGAAAAGACAUUUGGGUUAAGGAGGUAACAAGCUCAUUUAUUUUUUAAAAAGAGAAAUUGAUUUUUUUGCGUUAACAUGAACACCUUUUAAGACAGACCUUCAUGGUGUUAGAGUUUGUCAAGCGACAAUAUACGUGUAGACAUCACUGUGAUUUUCGAUAACAAAUAAUUAUUGUCAGUUCAUCUUUUUUCUGUGGCUCCGAGUGCUUAGUCAUAUGGCAUUUAUAGCUAAGACAAUCGGUUCAAAAGGUUCUGUGCCCAGCUAAGGUGGUGUUUACAUUAGCCCGUUAUCGUACGAAAAUGGCGUUCUAAAACGAAAACGAUCCUCGUUUAUACUGCUGUUUCCACAUCCACAAAAUCCGCGUUUACACUACACUACCGAAAACGCAUGUCACAUGACCAUUCACACACGCUGGGCAUGCACACACAAAUGUAAACAGUUGCAUGGGCAUACAUAAGUUGGUUGUUGAUGACAGUUGGUUAAUAGUCACAGACCGGCCAGUACAAAAUAAACAUGAUGGCGAGGAAAAGCAAGGACAUCUUUGUGUGGAUAACUUUAGAUGACGUAAUCCAUGUUAUUAGGUUUCUUUGAUUUCAUCCGGCGCCACGCAGACCGAUCGACGGAUAACACCGCAGUACUGAGUGGGCUAUUUAAAAGGCUCUCGAUUCUCUCUCGCGUUGCUGUAAUGCCACCGUGUCGAUCUGAGUACACAGCGCAGCUUGAAGUACACGGUCCUUGCGAGGCUGGUCAUUGUCGCUUUCAGGUAACGUAAUGGCUCAUAUGACAGGGGCUUUACGAAUCAGGGAAGCAAACGCAAUGAUACAGACGAACCAAUCAGUAAGCGAAUGUGGGCAACCACGCCUGUGUAUUUUAAAGUCUCCGUUUUCGUCCGUUUUUGUCUGUUUACACAGAAACGCAACCCCGGAGUUUUCAAACUAAAACAGGGUCUGCAGCAUUUCCAAGUCUCGGUUUUCGGGGGCCGAAAACUCAGGAGUGGUGUAAACGGCAGGUGAUAUCGUAGCUAGAGCCAUAGGCGUAAUUCGCGGGUGGGACAUGUCCCCACCACUUUUUGGAAGAAAUUAAGAAAUGAAACAGGUGCCAUUAAUAUCUAAAACGCGUGGAAAACGCAGAAUGCGCCGCUUUCUCACCAUCUCCCGUUGCUCACACUCGUAAGUUAUAUUUGCGGAAGACAGAGAGCCUUCAGACUUCAGAAACGUGGCCAGUAUAAAAAUGCGUGCAUCAUCCGCACUCACGGUGCUUGCUUGUGCAUCCAGUGUCCAAGCACAAAAACGCAUAAACCAUUGAACAAGCGACUUUUUAGUCGUAGGAAUAAACUGUUUUAAGUGUAAUGCACCGCAACAGCCAAGUGACCUUCCCCAAGUGACAGUUUGGGAACCACAUACUGUGGGGGAGCGCAUGCUACGUCAUAAAAACAAUAUCAUGUCUCUCUCACACUAAACACGUGGGUCUGUCAUGAUCCUGCCACUAGACUAGAAAAUCAAGACAAAAGGUGGCAGAAUCAUGACAGAAGCCCCCCCCUUAAGGAACGACAACCUGGGGUUCUUCAAGGGGACAGACAAGACAAGACUGACUAGGACAGAGACACGAGUAAAUCAUACAUUAUAAAGACAAUAAAGUAACAAGAGUCCAAUGAAAUGUUGUUUAGUGUUUUGUGGCUCUUUAAGAUGUCCCACCCACACCAUAUCAGCGAGCUUCCGCUUCUCAGGCUGUUGUGAUUGGUCCCCCUCUCAGUGCACGUGUGGCGUAUUCAUGAGCUUUAGCUUUUAGCAAUAAACAGUAAAUGGUGUCAGCUUUACUUCAUCAGUUAAAAACAUGCGGAUCGAUCAGAACUGAGAAGUGUAAUGGAGGUCUGCUAGUGCAUGUGCAAACGUCAAUCUUUGUUAGAGAUUGCAUUUUGAAUGCAGUUAGGAUUAGAUUGCAUCCUACUAUGGCAAGGGUUCUCCCGUUUCUCCACUGUUUUCCCUACUAUGGCGAGGGGUAUGACAACGGACCGAUUGGUGUAACACCGGUUAUAUUAACACUAAUAACAGAAGCGUUAGUUUUGCCUUUUCACAUUGGACCUAAGUUGGAUAAAUAAAACAAGCAGAUUGACCAGGAGACAUUUGAAAGCAGGAGUUCUAAGGACGUUUCAUAGACACACACACACACACACACACACACACACACACACACACACACAAUUUCAGUGUAUUAGAGAAGUGUAUUACAGAACAGCUUUUCAAUUUAAACAACCGAAAUAAUGAAAUGUUUUAAAUGGUUUAUAAGGCUAUUUCUUGCGGUCCGGAUGGAACGAAGCAAAGGUCCGGAUCUGGCUGGCGGUCCGCCAAUUGAGGAUGACUAGUGUAAAUAAAUGGAAAACACACACAGUAAAAAGAAAAAGUGCCUCAAAUAUCCUGUUGUGUACUCAAAGAACCUUAAACUGUAUUUUAAGUGCUCCAAAGCUCUUUUUCUCAAUAAAACGGUUAUGGUGGAACCAUCUAUAGUCUUUGUGGUUCUUCCAGGGUCCUAGAAGAUUCUUGCAUAACCCCAUAUUCAGUUGUGAAGUUCUGGAGUCACCUUUUCACUACACUGGGACCUCAAAGUGCUUUGCGGGUUAUUGAAGGAACUCAAAUUCUAAAAAAUGGUUAUUGUAUGAUCUGUAAACUUGUAAGUGGUUCCUGGAGAAUCUCUCUUGUACAAGACAGUAUCUAGAGGAACCCCAAAAAAUUCUACAUGAAAUAGGGAUUUUUAGUGUCUGAUCAUUUUGAUGUUUUAUGAGAAUAAGAACAGUCCAAAGUUUGUUUUUUGGCCCCUGCUAAGUGAACACACAUUUUAAAAUCAUGCACAUUAUUUUGAAAAUUUUCAGCAAGCUUUUUGAUUAUUUUAUAUUUCUUACUAUUUGUAUUAUAUGAUUAAUUAUAUUAAUAUAUUAUAAAUAAACAUUUUUAUUCUAUAAGUAGAUCCUAAGUCACUGAAAUCUUUUGAAAAUGUAAACGUUGUUGUGCUUUCCAUCCAAACAAACUGCAGCUGCUCUGUGUGUUUAUUGUGCGGUCUCGCCUUCCACAGUACUGUGGCGCUGUUGGCACAAUGUCUCAGCGUCAAGGCAUGUGCCAUGCGGCGCUUUCGUUAGUAUGUGUGUUUAACUUUUUCCAGCUCUGCGCAGAUCAAUCACCUUAUGACAAAAAGCAUACGGACUUAGAAUAACAUCUCUAAAGCAUACAGAGCAGUCAGUUCACAAAUAGCUCUCACUGUGCUUUGAUGUCGCCGAUCCGUCUGCGAUCAAACAUCAGUGGCACGAGUGUUCACCGGUGUUGUUCCGCUCGCGCGACAGACAGGAAUUCAAAAUAACGGAUCGCAACAACCUCUCGACUGUCCCAUUGGAUAAUUUUCAGUAUUUUCCAGUUGAGCAGCAAAAAAAUGGGCAACCAAGGCCAACAGACCCAGCCCACCCUGAUGCUCAUCCUUGCACUGCCUGGGACACCUAAGGCCAACAGGCGCAGCUCCUGUUCCCUUUUUGCCAUAAAUACAUAUCUACUUUAGCAAUGCAAAAUUGUGAAAUGCACUAUAGAAAUAAUUUUUACUUUGACUACAUGGAUCCUCACACCAACUGGUAAUAGCAAGAAACCCAUUUGGAGAGAACAGCAUUGUUUUCUCUAGCUCGCAAGGAUUUGCUAUUUGGCAAAUUACAACUUUACCAUGGGUGUAGGCCUUGCUAUGAGAGACUACUUUUUUGCUGGACUUUUUUACAAUUGUACAUUUGUACAAAGUACUUGAAAUAUUUCUGUAUGUACGGUAUAUUUAAAAUUAAGGCAAAUUAUUUGGUUAGUUUUGUUAAGAUAAAGACUUUUCAUUUAUAACAAUAUCACCAACACAAUAUUAAUUAUACAAGUGAUUUCAUGAAUUUAGAAU